rnacentral:rRNA from 1 species
CUACGGGAUGCAGCAGUGAGGAAUAUUGCACAAUGGGGGGAACCCUGAUGCAGCAACGCCGCGUGGAGGAUGACGCAUUUCGGUGUGUAAACUCCUUUUAUAUGUCAAGAAAAUGACGGUAGCAUAUGAAUAAGCACCGGCUAACUCCGUGCCAGCAGCCGCGGUAAUACGGAGGGUGCAAGCGGUACUCGGAAUCACUGGGCGUAAAGGACGCGUGGGCGGGUUGGAAAGUCAGGUGUGAAAUCCUACAGCUUAACUGUAGAACUGCACUUGAAACUUCUAAUCUAGAGUAUGGGAGGGGGAGAUGGAAUUAGUGGUGUAGGGGUAAAAUCCGUAGAUAUCACUAGGAAUACCUAAAGCGAAGGCGAUCUCCUGGAACAUUACUGACGCUAAGGCGUGAAAGCGUGGGGAGCAAACAGGAUUAGAUACCCCAGUAGUC